AAAUGGGAUUUAUAUCCCUUCCUCAAAGACAGCUCUCCUUAGCCUCUGAAGAAGCAUUAUACAUGCGAAACGUCAGGCUUUUUUUCCCUUUUCGUUUGACACAGUGAAUUCAUUGAAAUUUGCUUUUUGAAAAUUUGUAUUAUAUUCUUUUAAUAAUAAAGGUACAUUUUAAUCCAGCUAUUGGGAGGAAACAAGAUACAACUUAAGAACUAACAACCGAAGACAACUGAAGAACCAACAACUGAAAACCUAAAAAGACAAUCCAGAAAUUAAGAAGACAAGAAGACAACGAACAACAUAAGCUACCUGGGUCGCUCCCAGCCGACACAAAAAGGAUAAUGAAUCCAUAAAACUUUAAAGGAAUCCACCACUUCAACGGUAUAACAGUCAAAUUGGUUGUAACAUCCACCUGGGCUAAUACCCCUCUUUUCAGGCUCUAUCACCCACAGAAGGCGGCUUUCCGUUUAACAAUAGUGCCUUCCAGACAGCAGUUCGUUGGGCCCAACACAGGUACAAGCACAAAUUACGUGACAGUACAGUCCCCAUAGUGCAAUCACUGUUAGAGGACCCACCAUCCACUAGUGCUUCAGAACCAGUAACCAGGGUUCAUUCCCUUUCUCCUAUCACAACCCCCGAGACUGAAAAUAACCCAGUUUUAGUUCAGGCCAGACGAUCUACUCCAGCCUCAGCCUCACGUCCCACAGCCAGAGCCAAGACAAGCUUACCAACUUUAGGGUCUUCCCCACACGUCCUAGCCGAGACACUACCAUCCACUCUGGCAUCCAGGCUGACUCAAUCCCCCUUAGUAAGGGUACAACGACCAGCACCGAGACUUGGAGCUAUUAAAGCACCAACUUUGUCUCCUAGGUCUGUCAGUAACAAACCAAUAUCUUCUCCAGGUUUGGUUUUGCCCUCAAGGGGAACUGUUUCCAUACCCGUAGCUUCGACAUUGAUUAAGGCUCCAGAUAACAUACCGCCCAUACCCUCCCCAACUCCCAAUAGGGUCACUCUUGCCUACCCCCAGUUCACUUCCCCACCACCUGACCUUGAUGAAUUCAUAGUAGACUUUGAACUUAGAGAGGAAGAAUUUCCCACUCUCCAGUCAAUUAUGGUACAGACAAAGCACACCAUAGCCCAGACCAAGACCAUCACAGUCCAGGCGCAGGUGAUACACAGACCCUGCAGCCAACUUGACUCCUGGAGUGCCCCCACAUUGACUAGAGCAAUGGAGACCGCACAAUCACCCCAAACACCAAUUAUCAGCAAUGUAGCGAUUCAAUCCGAUCUAAACAUUUCUGACCUCUCUGGGUCAGAAACUAACAUUUCCACUCUUGCUCCCACAGAGGCUCAACCAAAUAUACACCCUAACCCUGCUGAGGCGGUGAUUAUGGAAAGAGGAGUAAAGGUGGAAAAAGUUGUGAUGAUGGGAGAAAACAAAGGGAAAAUCAAUCCCAACAGUUUCCUGUCUGAACCUUCCCCAA